rnacentral:lncRNA from 1 species
CUUGAACCCGGGAGGCCGAGCUUGCAGUGAGCCAGGAUCGUGCCACUGCACUCCAGCCUGGGUGACAGAGCGAGACUCCGCCUCAUCAAACAAACAAACAAACAAACAAACAAACAAACAAACACAGUAGGCAUCCUUGUGAAGAGAAGGAAAAACACACACACAAACACAAAAGACCCCAAGUACACCAAACUAAUACUGAUCUCAUCUCCCAGAGGUCAGCCCACCCUCCCCACUCUGAGAGUGUUACUGUGCUUAAUAAACUUUUGCUUUGCUUUGCUGCUUUGUGUGUGUCAUGUACAGUUCUUUGUUUGGGACACCAAGAGCCUGG